rnacentral:rRNA from 1 species
UGGGGGAUAUUGCGCAAUGGGCGAAAGCCUGACGCAGCGACGCCGCGUGGGUGAUGAAGGCCUUCGGGUCGUAAAGCCCUGUCGAGGGGGAAGAAAUGGUCGAGACCCAAUACGUCUCGAUCUUGACGGUACCCCUAAAGGAAGCACCGGCUAACUCCGUGCCAGCAGCCGCGGUAAUACGGAGGGUGCAAGCGUUGUUCGGAAUCACUGGGCGUAAAGCGCGUGCAGGCGGCUCGUUAAGUCUGGUGUGAAAGCCCGGGGCUCACCCCCGGAAGUGCACUGGAUACCGGCGGGCUCGAGUCCCGGAGAGGAGGGUGGAAUUCCUGGUGUAGCGGUGAAAUGCGUAGAUAUCAGGAGGAACACCGGCGGCGAAGGCGGCCCUCUGGACGGUGACUGACGCUGAGACGCGAAAGCGUGGGGAGCAAACAGGAUUAGAUACCCUGGUAGUCCACGCUGUAAACGAUGAGCACUAGGUGUCGCGGGUAUUGACCCCUGCGGUGCCGUCGAC